AUGAUGGACAAAAGCAAAUAUACAGACCUGGUUAAAUACCAAAUGCAUUGAUUGGCAGCCAGAUAUGAUAAAAUCCGAAUUAUUAGAAAUUGUUAAUGGUCACCGGUACAGAUUCGACGGUUAUAAAAUAGAUAAAUUAGCUGCAGAAGCCAGUCAUAUCGUUCUACGACUGCCACCUUAUCACUGCGAGUUAAAUCCAAUUUGAACUGAUUUGGAGCCAAAUAAAAGGUUACGUGGCACAGCGAAAUACUACUUGGAAGAUUUCUGACGUUAAAAUGCUCGUGGAAGAAGCAAUAAAAACUAUCUCGCCAGAAACUUGGAGUGAUUGCAUCGCUCACAUUAAAAAAAUCGAGGAAAAAUUUUGGACACUCGACGGUCUUCUUGAUGCAGACGUACCUCCUUUAAUAAUUAAUACUGCGGGUACUUCAACUGAUUCGGACACAGUUAUCUGGUAUCGAAUAUUUACCGUAAACGUUCAGUACAAUAAAAAAGGCCCUUUUCAGGGCCAAAAAUUUUGGUAAAGAGAAGCC
rnacentral:lncRNA from 1 species